GACGAACGCUGGCGGCGUGCUUAACACAUGCAAGUCGAGCGGUAAGGCCCUUUCGGGGGUACGACGAGCGGCGAACGGGUGAGUAACACGUGGGUGACCUGCCCUCAGCUCUGGGAUAAGCCUGGGAAACCGGGUCUAAUACUGGAUAUGACUCCAUGACGCAUGUUGGUGGGGUGGAAAGCCUUGUGCGGCUGAGGAUGGGCCCGCGGCCUAUCAGC
rnacentral:rRNA from 1 species